rnacentral:lncRNA from 1 species
AUUAUGAGAAGAAAAUUGUAUAUCCUAAGCUGCUCUCUGCUCCCAGUACAGCUUUAGACUAUCUUAUACAGUAAUGAGCAGUAUAUGCAAAAUUAAAUUGCUGUAAGUUUUAUUACAUUCAAAAUAUAAGUAGGAAUGUGGAAACUGCCAUCCCCAAAAUAGUUGAUGCUGUUUUGAGUCAUGUAUAUCAGUGUUCCAUCCAGUGAGUAUUGAGAUUUCAAUUUGCUAGUAAGAUUUUUUUAGUCUAUUCUAUUAUCAUUUAUUUUAAAAUCUUUUAAACUAUUGUUUAAAUUUAAAGGGCUCGGACAAAAAUAGUUUAUUCUACAUAUAGUCGAAAAUCUGCCAAAGAAGUAGGAGAGAAAUUGUUGGAGUUACAUGUGAAUUAUUGUGUUUUAGAAGAGGCAUGGUGUGUUGUGAGAACUAAGCCUGGUUGCAGUAUGCCUGAAAUCUGGGAUGUGGAAGACCCUUCCAAUGCAGCUAACCCUCCCUUAUGUAGCGUCCUGCUCAAAGAUGCCAAGCCUUACUUCACCACAGUAUUUCAGAAUAGUGUGUACAGAGUAUUGAGGGUUAACUGAGAAGGAAACUACCCAUUACACUAUGGCACAAUGUGGUGUGUCAAAAACAAUCACCCUUUGGCUUAUUUACAUUAAUAAAAAUCACAAGCUUUAAUAACAGACACUUAAAAAUAAGAUAAAAAUGGA